rnacentral:tRNA from 1 species
GGGCGAGUGGCGGAACUGGUAGACGCGCUAGACUCAAAAUCUGGUGACCUCUGGUCGUGAGGGUUCGAGUCCCUCCCCGCCCACCA